CUUCCCCCACAGACAGACAGGUGCCAGGUCCCAGUAUAGUCUACUCCCACAGCCCUUCCCCCACAGACAGGCAGGUGCCAGGUCCCAGUAUAGUCUACUCCCACAGCCCUUCCCCCACAGACAGGCAGGUGCCAGGUCCCAGUAUAGUCUACUCCCACAGCCCUUCCCCCACAGACAGGCAGGUGCCAGGUCCCAGUAUAGUCUACUCCCACAGCCCUUCCCCCACAGACAGGCAGGUGCCAGGUCCCAGUAUAGUCUACUCCCACAGCCCUUCCCCACAGACAGGCAGGUGCCAGGUCCCAGUAUAGUCUACUCCCACAGCCCUGCCUCACCCCCAGCCUCACCCUCCUGCCUCCCCCUUCCUCAGCCCCUCCUCUCCCCUUACCCCCCUGCCUCCCCCUUCCUCAGCCCCUCCUCUCCCCUCAACCCCCUGCCUCACCCUCCUGCCUCACCC
ensembl:lncRNA